AGGCCGAAAUUAGUGUCAUAUG
rnacentral:miRNA from 8 species